rnacentral:rRNA from 1 species
UAAUACAUGCAAGUCGUGCGGACCGAAAGGGAGCUUGCUCCCUGGAGGUUAGCGGCGGACGGGUGAGUAACACGUGGGUAACCUGCCUGCCAGACCGGGAUAACGACGGGAAACCGUCGCUAAUACCGGAUACGCUCAUGCGCUCGCAUGGGUGUGGGAGGAAAGGAGGCAACUCCGCUCGAGGAGGGGUCCGCGGCCCAUUAGCUAGUUGGUAGGGUAACGGCCUACCAAGGCGACGAUGGGUAGCCGGCCUGAGAGGGCGACCGGCCACACUGGGACUGAGACACGGCCCAGACUCCUACGGGAGGCAGCAGUCGGGAAUUUUGCGCAAUGGGGGAAACCCUGACGCAGCAACGCCGCGUGAGUGAGGAAGGCCUUCGGGUUGUAAAGCUCUGUCAGCCGGGACGAACGGUCCUGCGAUGAGCAGGGAUUGACGGUACCGGCGGAGGAAGCCCCGGCUAACUACGUGCCAGCAGCCGCGGUAAUACGUAGGGGGCGAGCGUUGUCCGGAAUUACUGGGCGUAAAGGGCGUGUAGGCGGCCAAUCAAGUCAUGGGUGAAAGCCUGCAGCUUAACUGCGGAAUUGCCUGUGAAACUGGUUGGCUUGAGGGCCGGAGAGGGCAGUGGAAUUCCCGGUGUAGCGGUGAAAUGCGUAGAGAUCGGGAGGAACACCAGUGGCGAAGGCGGCUGCCUGGACGGUACCUGACGCUGAGGCGCGAAAGCUCGGGGAGCGAACGGGAUUAGAUACCCCGGUAGUCCGAGCCGUAAACGAUGAGUGCUAGGUGUGGUGGGUAUCGACCCCUGCCGUGCCGGAGUUAACGCAAUAAGCACUCCGCCUGGGGAGUACGGCCGCAAGGCUGAAACUCAAAGGAAUUGACGGGGGCCCGCACAAGCAGCGGAGCAUGUGGUUUAAUUCGACGCAACGCGCAGAACCUUACCAGGGCUUGACAUCCCCUGACGGCUCCAGAGAUGGAGCGUCCCGUAUGGGCAGGGAGACAGGUGGUGCAUGGUUGUCGUCAGCUCGUGUCGUGAGAUGUUGGGUUAAGUCCCGCAACGAGCGCAACCCUCGUGCUAUGUUGCCAGCAGGUAAAGCUGGGCACUCAUAGCAGACUGCCGGGGACAACUCGGAGGAAGGUGGGGAUGACGUCAAAUCAUCAUGCCCCUUAUGUCCUGGGCUACACACGUGCUACAAUGGCCGGUACAGACGGUAGCGAAGCGGUGACGCGGAGCCAAUCCGAGAAAACCGGUCUCAGUUCGGAUCGCAGGCUGCAACUCGCCUGCGUGAAGCCGGAGUUGCUAGUAAUCGCGGAUCAGCAUGCCGCGGUGAAUACGUUCCCGGGCCUUGUACACACCGCCCGUCACACCACGAAAGUCGGCAACACCCGAAGCCGGUGAGGUAACCGCAAGGAGCCAGCCGUCGAAGGUGGGGCUGAUGAUUGGGGGUGAAGUCGUAACAAGGUAGCCGUAUCGGAAGG